AUGGAGAAACUCCUCCAGAUGGUAGAAGGCAUGCAUAUAGACGAGAUGCCUUCCCACCAAAGGCUCCAGCCGGAGCCCCCCAGAGCUCAGAAGCGUCCCCUCUCACCACAGGCUGGCCUGAGCGCUCCCAAAAGGAAAGUUGUCCCUAGGUUGGUGGAAAAGCAGCCUGAGACUGUGCAAGGUGUAGAUGAGAGUAAGAAAGAGGAGAAAAAGAAAGAUGUUGCAGGCAUUGGAUUAGAGCGGGGAGCCUCACAAGCUCACUCUAUCAGAUGGCCGGUAGAAAGCAAAAAUAAAUACGUGCACAUCAGUUUGGGUGACCAAGAUGAGGGGUCUGAGUUUUCGCAAACAGGAUUAGCUUUAGCAGAGACCAAGGUUGCGGCAACUGAAAUGUUAUCAGAUACUGGGGACAGUGCUACAAGUAUCGUAUCUACUCAGUCUUCUGAAACAAAAUUAGCUUGUACAGAGAGCAUGCGUAAAGUAACUGCUGUAUUUUCAGGCAGUGUGGAUGCUGACACAGAUCGCUUGUCGCCUCAGUGUUCUGACAAAAGGUUUGCUUCCGUAGAGAACAAGCCUGUGGCAACUGAAGUCUUAGGAGAGAAUGUGGAAACUGAUACAAGGGCUGUUUCCACAGAGCGUGAGCUUGCGGGAAAGGGAAUGCUGUCAGAGAGCAUGGCUCCUGUCACAGGUAGCUCGGAUUCUAAGUGUCCUGACUCAGAAUUGGCUUCUACAGAGGGAAAGGCUACCGUAAAGAGUGUAGUCUUCCACCCUGGGUCUCCUGAUGCAAAUAUCUUGUCCUCUGAGCCUUCGGAAACUAGAAAUGUUUCCCCAGAGGACAAGGCUGUAUCAACCAAAAUGCUGUCAGAAAAGCUAUCUUCUACCUCAAGUGUUUUGUCUUCCCAGUGUUCUGAAACUGAGAUAAAGGCUGCAGUAACUGAUGUGUUGUCAGAGAAAGUGCCUGCAGCCCCAAAUGUACCAUCUGAUGAGUGUUUGGAAACUAGAAGUGUUUCCCCAGAGAGGGAGCCUCUAGUAACCAGAAUAUUGUCAGAGACAGUGUCUUCAGACACCUCCAAUGUCUCGUCUGUCGAGUGUUGUGAAACUAAAUGUAUUUCCUCAGAAAACAAAUCUGUGGUGACAGGAAUGUUAUCAGAGACAGUGUCUCCCGACCCAAAUGUCUCAUCUACUGAGGGUUCGGAGACUAGAUGUCCCUCCCCUGAGAGCAAGCCUGGAGUAAGUGGCAUGCUCUCAGAGGCAGCAUCUCCAACUUCAAGUAUUUUGGCCUCAGAGGAUUCGGAGACUACAUGUGUCUCCCCUGAGAGCAAGCCCUUAGCAAGUGGCACACUCUCAGAGGCAGUAUCUCCAACCUCGAGCAUCUUGGCCUCUGAGGAUUCGGAGACUACAUGUGCCUCGCCUGAGAGCAAGCCUAUAGUAGGUGAAACGCUCUCAGAGACAGUGGCUGCAGUCCCAGAUGUUGUGACUGCUGAAUGUUCUAAGGCUAAAUGCAUUCCCUCUGAGAGCAAGCCUAAAGUAGGUGAAACGCUCUCAGAGACAGUGGCUCUACCUCCCGAUGUCUCGUCAGCUGAAUGUUCUGAGGCUAGAUGCCUCUCCCCUGAGACCAAGCCACUAGUAACUGGAACGGUCUCAGAGACGGCGGCUCUAGCCCCAGAUGUCUCGUCUGUUGAAUGUUCAGAGACCACAUGUGUUCCUCCAGACAUCAAACCAGUCGUCACCAGAAUCAUCCCGGACAGACUCUCUCCACCCAUAAGCAUCUCAUCCACUGAGUACUCUGAUACCGGAUAUGCCUCCCCAGAGAGGAAGCCUAUAGUAAGUGCACUCUUCUCGGGGAGACUAUCUCCACCAAUAAGCAUCUCGUCUACUGAGUAUUCCGAGGGCAGCUGUGCUUCCCCGGAGAGCAAGCCUGGAGUAACAGGCAUGUUCUCAGAGAUACUAUCUCCAGCUAUAAGUAUCUCCUCCUCCGAGUCUUGGGAAGCUGGCUAUUUUUGCACAGACAGAAAGCCCAUAGUCACUGACAUGUUCUGUGACAGACUGUCUCCGGACACAAGUAUGUCAUCCUCUGAAGGUUCGGAGACUGGCUAUGCUUCACCAGAAAGGAAGCCCAUAGUAAGUGGAAUAUUCUCAGGGAGACACUCACCAACCAUCAUUGUCUUGUCCUCUGAGUGUUCAGAGACUAGCAGCGCUUCCCCAGAGAGGAAGCCUGUAGUAACUGGAAUGUUCUCAGGGAGACUGUCACCAACCACAAUUGUCUUGUCCUCUGAAUGUUCUGAGAAUAGUAGUUUUUUUCCAGAAACCAAACCUAUAGUAACAGAAAUGUUUUCUGAAAGGCUGUCUCCAGACAUGAGUAGCUUUUCUUCAGAGAAUUCAGAGAUUAGCUAUGCUUCUCCAGAAAGGAAGCCUAUAAUAAGUGGGCUAUUCUCAGGGAGAUUAUCAUCACCCAUCAGCAUCUCAUCUACCGAAUAUUCUGAUCCUGAAUGCGCUUCCCCAGAAAGGAAGCCUAUAGUAAGUGGACUCUUCCCAAGGAGGUCAUCUUCACCCAUUAGCAUUUCAUCAACUGAGUAUUCUGAUAUGGGAGGUCCCGCUUCCCCCGAAAGGAAGCCUAUAAUAAGUGAAUUGUUAGAAAGAGUGCGUGCAGCCCCCCAUGUGUUGUCUUCCCAGUGUUCGGAUGUCAGAUGUGAUUCCCCGGGAAGUAAACCUGGAGUAGGAGGAGUGUUCUCCGAGACUCUGUUUUCAGCCACGAACAUCUUGGCUUCUGAGGAUUCAGAGUCUCGGUGCGCUUCCCCAGAGAACAAGGCCACAGGAAGUGGCAUGUUCUCAGAAACAGGGUCUCCAACCCCCGAUGUGUUGUCUACUGAAUGUUUAGAUACUAGAUGUGUAUCCCCCGAAAGCAAACCCGUAGAAGGAGGAAUGUUUUCUGAGACUCUGUUUUCAGCCACAGGCAUCUUGGCCUCUGAGGGUUCAGAGUCUAGAUGCACUUCGCCGGAGAACAAGGCCACAGUAAGUGGCAUGUUCUCAGAGACACUGUUUUCCGCCCCAAGCAUCUUGGCCUCUGAGGGUUCAGCGGCUAGAUGCGUUUCACCAGAGAACAAGCCAGUAGUCACUGGCAUGUUCUCAGAGACACUAUCACCACCUACAAAUAUUUUUUCCUCUGAAAGUUCGGACACUCGAUGCAUUUCACCGGAGAACAAGCCAGUAGUAACUGGCAUGUUCUCAGAGACACUAUCACCACCUACAAAUAUCUUUUCCUCUGAAAGUUCGGACACUCGAUGCGUUUCCCCGGAGAACAAGCCAGUAAUAACUGGCUUGUUCUCAGAGAGACUAUCUCCACCCAUCAGCAUAUCAUCCACUGAAUAUUCCGAGACUGGAAAUGCUUCCCCAGAAAGGAAGCCAGUAAUAACAGGAAUAUCCACAGACAGACUCUCACCACCCAUCAGCAUUUCAUCCACUGAAUAUUCUGACACUGAAUGUGCUUCCCCAGAAAGGAAGCCUGUAGUUCCUGGACUGUUUUCAGAGGGACCAUCUCCAUCCACAAGUGUUGUCCAUUCUUUGUGUUCUGAAACAAAACUUGCUUCAAUAGACAGCAAGUCUUCAGUAACUGGACUAUUACCAGAAAGCAUGUUUCCAUCUACAAGUUUCUUUACCUCUCAAUGUUCUGACACCAGAUCUACCUCCCCCGAAAGCAAACCUCUAGUAGCCAGACUGUUCCCAGACAGCAUAUCUCCAGCCACAAGCCUCUUGCCAUCUCAGUAUUUUGAGAACACAUGUGAUUCUACAGAAACCAAGGCUGCAGAGACUGGAGGACUGUCUGCAUCCACAAGUCUCUUCUCUUCUCAGAGUUCUGAGACAAGAUUUGCCUCCACUGAGAGGCUGCCUGCUGUAACCAGACUAUUAUCAGAGCUUGUGGAUCCUGCCACGCUUAACCUGGCUUCUCAGUGUUCUGGCAUAAGGUUUGCUUCCAAAGAGAACAAUCCUGAAGCAUCUGAACUGUCCCCAGAAAGACUGUCUCCUGCGACAGGCUUUGUGUGCCUUCCAUCUUCUGAGACAAGAGCUGCUUCCAGAGAGAACGAUCCUGAAGUAUCUGGAGCGUUCUCUGAAAGAUUAUCUCCUACAACAGGUAUUGUGUCCUUUCUAUGUUUUGAGACAAUACUUGCUUCCACAGGGAGCAAGCCUGUAGUAUUCAGAAUGUUCUCAGAAAGUAUAUCUCCUGCCACAGGUUUCGUGUACCCUCCAUGUUCUGCUUCAACAGAAAGUGAUCCUGCAGUAUCUGGCGAGUUCUCGGAAAGAGUGUCUCCCACAACAGGGACAAGAGCUUCAACAGAAAGUGAUCCUGCAGUACCUGGAGUGAGAUCUGAAAGACUGUCUCCCACAAAAGGUAUUGUGUCUUCUCUAUGUUUUGAAAUAAUACUUGCUUCUACAGAGAGUAAGCCUAUAUAG
rnacentral:lncRNA from 1 species